ACAACAAUAAUAAUAAUAAUAAUAAUAAUAAUAAUAAUUAUAGACUUGAGAGAGCAAAAAAGUGGUACGAACAUAAACCCGAAAGCAUCAUCGAAAAUGAUAAUGCAAAGAUCCUAUGGGAUUUUAUGAUUGAGUGUGACCAUGAGAUGGAGAAUAGGAAGCCUGACAUAGUGUUAAUUGA